CAAUAGCGUAUAUUAAAGUUGUUGCAGUUAAAAAGCUCGUAGUUGGAUUUCUGGCAGGAGUGACCGGCCGCACACACUGUGUGCGAGUUGCGUCAUUCUGGCCAUCCUUGGUGAGAUCCUGUUUGGCAUUAAGUUGUCGGGCAGGGGAUAACCAUCGUUUACUGUGAAAAAUUAGAGUGUUCAAAGCAGGCAAUCGCUUGAAUACAUUAGCAUGGAAUAACGAAUGUGUCUGGAAUAUUGGUUAAUUCUAGAUUACGAUUAAUAGGGACAGUUGGGGGGAGUUAGUAUUUAAUUAGUCAGAGGUGAAAUUACUUGGAGUUUAUUUAAAGUAACUAACGUAUGCGAAAGACAUUUCUUCAAGGAAUGUUUUCUA
rnacentral:rRNA from 1 species